UAUAGUCAGGAGGAGGCAAAUCAAGCCAACUACUUGGCGUUCCACUUUUGUCUCUUCUUGGCAGCCCUCUUCUUGGCUUCUUUGACGUCAGCGAGGCUCUUCCUCAUCAGCAGACGAAUUUUCAGUGGGCAUUUGGGGCACGUAGCUACCUCACUGGAAUUACCGGCUAAGUGCUGCUUCAACCUAAUUGCCCCCUCCCCCCUUGAAGCAUUUGUGGCAAUGUUUGCACUGAAAUUGGUGUCGGCCCUCGAGCAUUCAUCCAUAGUUCCAGCCAAUAUCACGCUGCGGGGAUUUAUUUUUAAUUUUUCUUGAUGGCUCCAUUCCCAUGAGGACAAUAAUUUUUUUUAAUUUUUAAAUUUAUUUGUUAAUUUUUUAUAUUUUUAAUUAUUGUAAAUUCAGAAAAAAAAUAUUUUUGCCUCCAAAAUGACUUCUGAAUUAUGUAGAACAUACUACUAUUUUUUCAAAACUUUUUCAUUUUUUUCUUUUUAUAAAAAAUUAUUUUUUAAUCAUUUUUAUAUUUUUUUAAUUAAUAUAAAUUAUAUAUAUUUCGAAA
rnacentral:lncRNA from 1 species